ACAACAGGUGAUGCUUAGUACGGCGAGUGAAGCGGCAAAAGCUCAAAUUUGAAAUCUGGCACCUUCGGUGUCCGAGUUGUAAUUUGAAGAAGGUAACUUUGGAGUUGGCUCUUGUCUAUGUUCCUUGGAACAGGACGUCACAGAGGGUGAGAAUCCCGUGCGAUGAGAUGCCCAAUUCUAUGUAAAGUGCUUUCGAAGAGUCGAGUUGUUUGGGAAUGCAGCUCUAAGUGGGUGGUAAAUUCCAUCUAAAGCUAAAUAUUGGCGAGAGACCGAUAGCGAACAAGUACAGUGAUGGAAAGAUGAAAAGAACUUUGAAAAGAGAGUGAAAAAGUACGUGAAAUUGUUGAAAGGGAAGGGCUUGAGAUCAGACUUGGUAUUUUGCGAUCCUUUCCUUCUUGGUUGGGUUCCUCGCAGCUUACUGGGCCAGCAUCGGUUUGGAUGGUAGGAUAAUGACUAAGGAAUGUGGCUCUACUUCGGUGGAGUGUUAUAGCCUUGGUUGAUACUGCCUGUCUAGACCGAGGACUGCGUCUUUUGACUAGGAUGUUGGCAUAAUGAUCUUAAGCCACCCGUCUUGAAA
rnacentral:rRNA from 1 species